rnacentral:misc_RNA from 1 species
AACCAUAGAAACCUGCGGAGUACCUGCGGAGGGAUCAUUACAGAGUUGCAAAACUCCCUAAACCAUUGUGAACGUUACCUAAACCGUUGCUUCGGCGGGCGGCCCGGGUCCUUCCCGGCGCCCCUCGGCCCUCGCGGGCGCCCGCCGGAGGUAAACCAAACUAUUGCAUUGUAUGGCCUCUCUGAGUCUUCUGUACUGAAUAAGUCAAAACUUUUAGCAACGGAUCUCAGAUCGGAAGAG